rnacentral:rRNA from 1 species
AACUCGGUACGGAUCCUCAGCACACACCGCCAGUCAGACGGGUGAGUAACACGUGGGCAACCUGCCCUGCAUAUCGGGAUAACUCCGGGAAACCGGUGCUAAUACCGAAUAGUUUGCGGCCUCUCCUGAGGCUGUACGGAAAGACGGAUUCGGCUGUCUCUGCACGAUGGGCCCGCGGGGCAUUAGCUAGUUGGUGGGGUAAUGGCCUACCAAGGCGACGAUGCAUAUCCGACCUGAGAGGGUGAUCGGGCACUCUGGGACUGACACACGGCCCAAACUCCUAACGGAAGGAGCACUAUGGAAUCUUCCGCAAUGGACGAAAGUCUGAAUGAACAACGCCGCGUGAGUGACGAAAGGUUUCGGAUCGGAAAACUCUGUUGUGAUGGAAGAACAAAUACCAAUUAACUACUGGUACCUUGACCGUACCUCUCCAUAAAGCCACAGCUAAGUACCUGCCCUCCCCCGCCGGAAUACUUAAGGGGCAAGCUGUGUCCCGAAUUAUUGGACAUAAAGCGCGCCCUAGCAGUUCUUUAAUUCCGAUGGGAAAACCCACGGAUCAAACCUGGAGGGUUCUUGGAAACUGGGGAACUUGACUGCAGAAAAAGAAAGUGGAAUUCCCUGUGUAACUGUGAAAUGCCUACAUAUG